CCAAGCAGUCGUCCGUCUCCUCCGUCUCCAACACAAUCCGCCGCCGCUUUCUCCUCCCAUCCCCGUCUCACAUCCCGUCGCUUCCGCCGUCGGCCGAUUGAGUGUUUCCCGAAUUCUUCGUCCGCCGUCCCUCCCCCCACUCAGGCACGCGUACACCCAUCUUCCUCGCUCGCCUGGUUCCGUGGUUCGUGUACGAUUCAGAGCGGAGUAGGGGAUCAAUUGAUGUCAGGUUCGGCUUCCAUCCAAAACCGGCCACCGGCCAGUCCACCGAGGGGAGAGCCCAGAUUGUCCACGCGAAACCCUAGACCCCGCGCGCGUACCAUCUCCGCCGCCUCGCCCAGUUCUUGCUCGCCUCAGCUCGCGGGGAUGGAGCAGGACGCGCCGCCCGUCCCCUCGCACCAGGCCCAGGACGGCGGCGCCGUGGACGGCUGGGCGCAGAACGAUAGCGAGGCCCCUCCCGUACGGCGCUCAGGCGGAGUGCCCCGAGGUCGUAGAUCCUCCUCCUUGCCGGCGCUUCCGCGGCCACGUCUCCACUGCCGCCUCCGCGUGUGCGACCCUCAACGACGACUCGGUGGGGAGGAGCCCUGCGACGACCUCGACGACGCCUGCUCCCCCGACCACAACCACUGCGUCCAAGAAAGCCACAUGGAUUGGGGAUAUGUACCUCGGUUUAGGUUUAAAGGGGCAAUCUUUGAGCAUUUGUAUAUCAACUAUCGAGGAUCUCAAGUUGACAUGGACCGCACUAUGAUCAAGUGCAUUAUGGUGCUAUGAUGAUUGUGACAAAAGAUGUUAGCUGCAGAAGCAAUCACUAUGUCUCAGCUCCAAUAAUAAAAAUCAGUGCACCUGAAUUACAACACAAUUUUUGUCAUCUGGAACUGCACUUAUAAGGUGUUUGGUCUGAAAGCUACACUCCUGAAUACAAUGUGAUAUAAAAGGUUCAUGAAAUCAUCAGGUAUGGAAAUGGUUGACCGUUUUUGUAAAUUACUUAGUACUAUAUUAUCAGUUUGUUUUUUGCAUUAUUUCCCAGUUCUCUUGCAGUACUAUUCAAGAACCUAUCUUCCUGCCUACUAGAUAAAAGAGGGGUUUUGUUUACUUAACAUGGUUGCCUGAUUAACAUAGUCAUGGUUUCUGUUAGUUAUUUUUUCCACUACCGUAGCAACAACUUAUCUUCCUACCUACCAGAUAUACUAUUCCUUGAUUGCUUAGCUCUCGGCUUAAGAAGCUCCACCAUUCUUUUAUAUGAUAUUAGAAAAAAAAUUGAGUUCUAACUUUGUUGAAAGACACACACAGUUCUGAUGUUCUGGGGCCAAUGUUCAUUUCUAGAGGCAAACACUCUCGGAUUUCUUAGUGAACUAUAAUCCCAUCUAGAUAACCCCCCUCGAUAUAGCUCCCUUUAUUUGCAUGACACAAUCUAGCAUAUGACGGCUAUGAUUUGGAUUGUGCGUGUUUCUCCAAAAACUAGGAUUAUAUGCCUGAGAACAAACAAAUAACGUUAUAAACUUACCUCAAAGCCUAUGGGUUGACUGAAGCUUGAUAAAUAGUUUCAAAUGCACUAUGGUCUCAUAACAGUACAAAUAAACUUUGAGGGAAAGAGAACCAUAAGUAUAGGUGACUGCAUAGUAGAAGACGUGUAAUUGUGUUGCACUAUACUGUCUUUAUAGAAGCCGACAAAAUCAGAGACAUCCUAAAUUUGGUUUUCUGUUCUUGUCAGUUAAGAAAAGAAACAUUAACUCUUGGAUUAUCGGUAAGGGAAUAUGCCUUAUUAGCAUACUCUUAUGGUGGUUAUUAUUGCUCAACGUUGUGAGGAAAAAGAAGAAUAUUCAGAAUUUUCUAUUUGUGGUUAUAUCUUUUGGAUAAACAAUAGAAGGGUAAACUGCAAAAAGAAACAUGACGACCACCAGUAGUUAUAUCUUUAUUUUGAAUUAAACUAAAGUUGUCAUGAUAGCAAUAUUUUAGAAUAUUCAGAUUUUUUCAAGAUUUAUGGUGAUUAUCACAUUAACUCUAAAACUGAACUAUUCGUGUCGGGCCAGAGAAGCAUAAUUUCAAUACAAAUUGCAAUUGCUUGGGCAAGAGAAAUCAACUCAAUACUACAAUUUUCCAUAUGAUGUAGUAAGAGAGGGCGUACAUUGUAAACCGAUGUAGGGUGAAGGCUAGCCGCAUCUUUGGCGUGUGGUCAAACCCGACAAGCUGCAACUAUGUGGAGCAUCCACAUUACUGCCACCACAUGCUUGCUAAAACAGUUAAUAUGUUCGUCCCCGUACAUCGGCCACAUCUUCGGCGAGCAUGCUUGAUGGCAAAAUCGGGCAACAAUCACUGCAUGGAUCGAUGAUAUCCCACACGGUCUUGUUUGCAUCAAAAGCGUGGCGCACUUUGGAUAAGAAUACACCAACCAUUUUGGUAAUGGGCAUCUCAACAUAUCUAUUUUGGCCUCAUUUCCCUAACACGCUAGUAAUUGUCUCCUUUCGUGUAUUUCUCUUACUCUCACACCCAAACACUUCAUGAUCUGAGAGAGGGAAUGCCAACAGCCAUGGCGGCAGUGUCCCCUCCGUCCGUUCAUGCAACUUGAGAGGCUCUAGCGAUGACGCGUGAGAGGCAUCGGCGUCACUAAGUUGGCCACCAUCCUAGCCGCGACGACAAUGCGACAGAGCAUAUAGUGGAGGGCAGAGAAAGACAGUUGAGGGAGAUGGCUUAUCAGAAGAAUCCAGAACACGCGGAUGACCGGUGUAGUAGAGAAGAGGAUGAGGGGAAUUACUGGGGAAGCCCAAGGGGACAAGCUAAGUGAGGUAGCCUCAGGUAAUGAACAAGGCGGGGAAGCCGCAGGUGAUGACGAACUUGAUAAAGAAGCCAUUAGAGGUAGAAGAAACUUCAAUCCCUAGGAAGUAGCGAAGAGGACCAAGAUUAGACAUAAGAAAUCCACUAUGACGAGCCUUCACAAAGGCAAAUGUACUUAUUAGAGCCAUUGCCAGUGUUAUCGAGAUAUAGAAGAAGAGUUCAACCAUGAGUUGAAAGGUGGACAAGUGUAGUAUCACGAGCACUCGCCGAAAACUAGCCGUAGUCACCAUCAAGACGAAACGUUCAAACCAGGCAUGAGAGGUUUGGUUAAGGCCAUAAAAAAAGUGACGAAGAAGACAAACCAUGUCAUCAAGAAGAGAAUACCCAGGUGGUGGCUACAUAUAGACCUCAUGCAACUCAACAUUAAGGAAGGCAUUCCUAACAUCAAGCCGAGAGACAGACCAGUGGCGAACAUAAGCCACAAUGAGAAGUGUGCGAAGGCCAUGGGAGCAAAUGCUCAUUGUAGUCUUGGCCAUGUUCCCGAGGAAAGCCUUGCGCCACUAGAUGAGCUUUGUAACACUCAAGGGAACCAUUAGUGUAUUAACAUUAUAGACACACUUACAAGCGAUGGGACGAGCACGGGGAGGAAGAGAAAUGACAUCCCACAUGCCGAUGCGCACAAGAGCAACAAUCUCCUCUACAAUUGCAUGCCGCCAUUCGGGAUGAACAGAUGCGUCAUGAUAAGAAGUCGUCUCGAGAAAAGCGGCGCCAGAAUAACCAUAGUGGUCAAUAGGUGGAAGCGAGAGCUCGAAAGCCAUAAGUAGGCUGAGUUGGAGGUGAUGCAUUGCCAACAGGAGAGGACAUUGUAGUAGAGGGAGAUGGCUCGUCAGAAGGAUCCAUAACACGCGGACCACAAGUGUAGUGAAGAAGAUGAUGAAGGGGAAUCAUUGGGGAAGCCUCAUGGACGAGCCAGGUGAGGUAGCCUCAAGUAAUGAACGAGGUGGGGAAGCCGCAUGUGACGGCGUGUGGGGUCUAUAACAGUACUAUGGGAGGACACACUGGGAUAGGUGGGCAAGGGCAAUAAAUGAGUGAUAAGUGUAUCGGAAAAUUGAGGGAAGU